GUCCUGAGGUGCACUGGGGGAGGCCCGCUGAAAGAAGGGCACUUUGUAAUGCACGGCUACUGUUUUCCGCACACCAGCUUGGAUGUGAGCCAAAGCGGCGAAGGGCGGGAGGAACCCCCUUCCGCACGUCGUAGAGCCCCAAACACUACCCUUGACAAGCCCUUAGGAUGGGUAAAUUUUAAAAUGCGGGUCCCGACAGAGGAAAUGCGGAGGGGGCAGGCCGCCCGGCUUCUCUGUCCAACUUCUAGUGGUCGGAGCAAAGGAGGAAAACUUGGGGAAGGAGAAACCACACAGUGCUGCACCUGGCUUGAUUUUCCUGUGGCUGUGAGCUAUGCCCACCCUGGGGCUGAUGCACCUAAAAUUUCCCCCUGGAGGGGGUGAAUUUAUUUAAAACCUCUGUAGAACCAGAGGGAACCCACCCGUCCCCUUCUCAAAGCCCCCCGUUCGACCCAGGAAUGGUCUUUCCCCCACAAUACCUGCACCAGCCAAGAGAUUGAUGCUGGAGGUUAAUAAUUUAAUUAAAUUAUAAUUUAAAGAACGGCAGCAAAACGGCUUACUGGCCCUGAGGCAAGUCCCCUGGGCCGAGAGGGAGGGUCUGUUUGUUUUUAUCAAUUUUGUAUAAGCGACAUGUUUAAUAUUAAUAAUUAUUGUCAGGGAUCCGGGGUUAUUAUUUUGUUUGUUUUUAAAAUAAUAAAGUUCUGCCAGGUUA